rnacentral:lncRNA from 1 species
GGAAAGAUCUUUCAGAAUUGGAUAGUAGCAUAUUACAGAAGUAGAAAUAAGGGCAUUUGACUAGAGAACGAUGUUAGUGGUAAUACUGUCCUAAGAAUUGUUCAGAAUCACUAGUAUACAUGGUUCUUCCCAAGUAUCUUAAAGACUAAAUAAUGUGCCAUCUUACACAUGACCAAAAAUAAGGCAAAGGGUUGAGAAAAUAUGAGACUUAAAUCAUUUAAUUCAUGAAAUAAAGCAUUAGACUGCAUGAAAAUUGGAAAUAUUAAUACAGGUCUAUUUUUGAGCUUACUUGUUUGGUAACCAGUACCUACAGAUACAGGACACAAAAGCACACAUCUACAUGUUUGAUGAAUAAAAUCUUCCUUUUUAAGAAUUAAACACCUUACCUAAUCACAACAGAUUCCCUCGUAUAGCCACCGUCAUACUCUGUAGUUUCUUCUAGUGCCUGGAAAUCUAGAUUCUGAAAAUUAUAGGGGGAAAAAAAAGCACCUUAACAUCCAUAGUACACCAAAACAAAAAACAAAACAAAACACCCAAAACAAAAAAAAAAACAAACAAAAACAAACAAACAAAAAAAAGACCUUUUUUGUAUAUGUCUUUCUUACCCGGCUUCCACAUAUAAGCAAUUCAAUUUCUUCUGGUCUGAAUAAGUAUUUUAAGGGCGAUUCAUUAGUCACCAUAUGAAAACCUCUGCGAAAUGCCUUGAAUUGUUUUUCUACAGAUUUAUUGAGAAUGUAGUCUGAAUAGAGAUUGACAAAUUCCUGUAGGAAUAUUAACAAGAAAGCAUAUUCUAUACAAAUGAAACACAAUUAGCUUUUGGACUAGUUUUAAUACCCACCCUCCACCCCAAGAAAACCUUCAGCAGUAUUUUUUUUGUUACUAUGUUUAAAAAUUAGAUUUCAGAGAGUUGGUUCAGUGCUUAAAAAAGCAUUAGCAACUCUUGAAGAAUAAACAUAAGUCUUAAAAAAUUAAUCACAUGUUAUAUGUACAAAGAAAAUUAUUUUCACAAUUUCUCACUUCUGACAGAUAUAAAAGUUGUAUUCAUAUGCAUAGUUAUACAUUAUGAUUCUAUGAGUAAAUCAAAGAGAAAUUAUAUAAAAUGUAAUUAAUAGUAAUAAUAAUGAAAUAAUGUAAACAGUAAGAUUAAAAUAAAAGAUUUAAAAAGACUGUAUAUAUAUAUAACAACAGAACCUCUAGUAUGCAAUAUAAAUUUGUUAUGAAUACUGAACUUGAGAAAACCAGAAUGUCUCAGGUUUCCUCUGGAAAUUAUGGUACUGGUAAGUUAGCUACUGUAUCCAGCUCAGCAAAAAUGUUAUUUGUUGGUAAACUAAGCUAUUAUAACAAAUUAUAAAAUUUUAUAGUUUUUAUAACUACUUCAAACCAUACUAGGUAAUUCUUUGAAAACUUUACAAAUUAUAAAAUUUGUUAUAGUACAAAUGUAGUUUGUAUCAUGACAGUACAAUAUUUCACCAAAAAUAAUAGUAUAAAUUAAUAUAUCUUAAAAUUAUACUAUGUAAUAUUUUCUUUUGAAGCUAAGUUAUUUCCUAUUGCCAAGUAAAUAGCUUUUAAAGUUAGUAAAAACCAAAUCUAAUGUGAAUAAUCUGAUAUGCAUAAUUAGAUCUCAUGACAGUACAAUAUUUCACCAAAAAUAAGUAUAAAUUAAUAUAUUUCUUAAAAUUAUACUAUGUAAUAUUUUCUUUUUAAGCUAAGUUAUUUCCUAUUGCCAAGUAAAUAGCUUUUAAAGUUAGUAAAAACCAAAUCUAAUGUGAAUAAUCUGAUAUGCAUAAUUAGAUCUCAAAUGGAAAAUGUAUAUACACACUAAACCAGAUGUCAAUCACUGGGCUCUGUAUACCUCUUAGGUUUAAUAUGGUAAGGCCCUGUUUCUAGCGUUACAUUAUAGUAAUAUUUACCCAUUCAAUCUUUUGUAGUCUGUUUAGUCUUUCUCUAAAGGGGAAUUAACAAUUCUGUACAAUCACAUAAGCUCUUAUCUAAGAGGAAAGUGUAGCUUUACUAUUUAGAUAAAUUUGUUUAUGUAAAGUUUUUAUAACUGCUUCAAACCAUACUAGGUAAUUCUUUGAAAACUUUACUGCUUUGAAAUUAUAUAUUUAUAAAACAAUGACAAAAAUUUAAUUACCUUCCUGUUUUCAUUUGUAAUUGGAAUUUUAUCACCAUUUUCUUUUAGAUCAUACAUCAUUGGGUUACCAAAAAGAUCUGUCUGUGAUAUCUGGAAAGUGAUCAUCAUAUCAUCUUCCACACUCCCUUCAUAUUCCAAUAAAUCCUUUAAACUCUGAUAUAAAACCUAACAACCAGAAAGAGAAGUGAGGUUGCCAAAUAAAUACUAAAAGAAAUAAAAAUAAUAGAUUGUUCAUUCUUUGUAGAAACAACUUGUCAACAAAAAUGAAGCCAUAAAUAUUCCACAUCUCUCAAGUAGUUUAAUAAGAUAGAAAGGUUGUCACAGGCAAUGGGUCAAUCUUAAAAAUUCUUCAAAUGAUCAGUUCAGCAACAGAUUUCAUACCAUGGUCUAGAAUAUACACUUUCUCUCCAUGAUUGUGGCAGGGUACAGGAAAUGAGGAAAAACAAACAAACAAACAAACAAACAAACAGGAAAACAAACAACAAAAAAGCCACACACAUAUCAACUGUACCUAUCAACAACUUUACUACAUAGACUCAUAUGGGACAUUGAAAACAUGAUGUUUUCAACAUUUUUUAUGGGGUCAAUCAAAACAUACUUGAUAGGAUAUAUAAAAAAUGAUGUUUAUUAUACUUAACCAGAUUAAAAGUAUUUUACUUUACUAAACAGCAGUAUCAACAAAAGUUUACAAAUAAAUAAUGUUCCUAUAUAAACUGAGAUAAACUUCUGUAUUUAGAUACAAUCUUAAAGACUAUUAACGAAGGACAACUUACUGGGUGAGAGUCUCCCAAGUCACGAAAGGUUCCUUUUUUCCCCAUUAGCUUCCUGUAUACAACCAUGGGAAAAUGGACAUCCAGUAUACAAUUAUUGUAAAUAGCCAGACCCAGGACUAUGCCAAUCAGAGUAAACUGACCCUCAGUUUCAAAAGAAGAUGGAUUAAACCAAAAUAAUUUCGUAGCUUCAUCAUAUGUGAACAUACCUAUAAAGAAAUAAUUAAAAGUCAUUUUAUCCACUUAAUGACUGAAAAUUACAUAUGAAACAAAUGCAUGAUUAAGUAAAAAAAAAAAAAACAAUUGGAGAAAGUUGAUUAACUUUAAGUUACUUAAAAUUCAUAUCAAAUCUAAGCUAAUAUAAUUUUAAAAAAUAUUUUGUGAUCUUUCAGCUUCACAUGAUCUUCAUUAUUCAAAGCCAAAGUCCAGAGAUUUUUUUUCCUAUCAUCAUUAUUUUAUCUAGGUGAACAUUAAGAGAUAGUCUUUUUUUUCUUUUUUUACGGAACAUCAAACAAUAAAAUAAAACAAAACUAAUUGUAUAUGCCUUUCAAUUUUUCUAAGUUUAUUUUCAGUUGCUUCUCAGGAAAUACUUUUUAUACAAAGUCUAACAAGCUGGGGGAGAGAGUGGGCUGUAUACCUUAGCACUUGGUAAAAUGAGUAAGGAAAAUUAUGAGCUUAAGGUUAGAGUACUAAUACAAUAUAAAAAGAUUGUCUAAAAAAGCCAAAAUCAAAAUGAGCAAAUCAAAAAGUUUUGGGAAAUGUUUUUCUAAUGGAACAAGAGUAUUAAAAAACAAAUAAUAAAGCAUUAAAAUGUACUUUCAGGUUAAUUUUAAUAUUUAAAAUGUUUCCUUAUUUUCACUUUCAGUUUUAAUUAAAAAGAAAAGUACACUUUUCUCCUUGAACUGUAGUAAUAUAAAUUAAGUCUAAGCUUUUUCUUGCAAUUUAAUAUUUGUGGAAUACUGGUUUCACAAGUAUUCAAUUCAUACUUGCAUUCCAGCUUGAAAAAUGUGAGUUAUGUAUGUCUGUAUCAUUUGCAUGCCAGGUUAUACAUCCAGGUAAUAUCAAAAGUUCCAGUUCACAAAUAAUAAAUCUGAUAGAAUGUCACCAAUGGAUGCUCUUGGUCUCAAGGACAAUUAAGCUAUAAAUUAACCAGAGGAUAAAUUAUAUAACCUAUGAUUCUCAUGACUUCAGGUUUUCAAAUCUACCACUCUAAGGUUUUUCAAAUUAAAUUUCCCUAGAAGGCAACUGUGUUCUACUAGAAUAUUUGACUAAGUAAUAUAUGGAAGAACCUAAAUUAAGUGAGUGAUAGAACAGCUCCUGAAGCAGGGAUAUGGCAUACUCAAUUUUUUUACUGCUUACCAUAACUGAAAAUAUUUAUAAACCAAGUUUAUACUUUAAAAGACUAACACACCAUCAUAAUCAUAUCACUAAUACUUACCAAUAUCUGGAUUAAAAAUUUCCUCCACAACCAACUGAAAAAACUCUUUGGAAACGCCUCCCUCAUCUACUCCUUGUUCUCCUUCAAAUUCCACAUACAACUGCUUCUUCAAGUCUGCAGGAUUUUCCAUAGCAAUCAUCUCUAGCUGUUGAUUGAAAAUAUAAAAAAGAGGACAGUUGAGAAGAGGAAAAAUGUAAGAUAUAAGUAGAAGAAAAUAAGAAGCAGCAAUAACAAAACAAUAUGGAAAGAAAACAAUGAAUUUUGUUUCUGAAAAGAAAAAAAGCAAACUGACUUACAGUUUUUGGCAAGAUUUAUUUCAACACACAAGAGUAUGUACUGUGUUUAAGAAGCUAUGCAUUUCUUAGUAAAGGAUAUAGCCAAAAUGCUGUUGGGGGUGGGGUGGGGGGAAUAGUUGCAAUUAUGUCCUGUAUAUCUUCAUCUUUAGGGGUCUAAGGGCCUAUGAAUUUAUUCUGUAAAGAAUCUCUAUAUUGGUCUACUUUAACUAAUUUGUAUGUCUUCAUGUAUGUAUAUUCACAUGUCUCCUUCCACCUAAGAUGUAUUUCCUCAGGAUCUGUCCACCUUGUUUGUCAGGAAAGGAUCUCUCCUUGACCUGGAAGACUGCAUAACACAAUAGGUUGGACUGUCAAUGGCCCCUGGCAUCUCUGCCAGUACCUGCCUACCUAGCAUCAGGACUACAAUGCCCACUUCAAGUUUCUUUUCUUUAAUAGAGUUCUGAAGAUUAAACUCAGUUCUUCUUGCAAGUUGAUCUACCUUCUCAGCUCGCAUACCCAAUUUUCAGGUCAGUAUUCAUUGAAAUUUAUUUUCAGCAGUACUUUGUUGGUGAACAUAUAAGAAACUGUUCUUUCACAAGUUCCACAUAUCACCACUAAAUAUUAACAUUUAAUUACUAAGCUUCAAUAAAUCAAUCCUAUUUUCUAAUGUAUUACAGAAACAGAGGUAAUAUUCUUCCUACUCUAAUGGUAUAUGCUUAAUAUAUCAUUUCUAAGGAGCAAAACUGUUAACAUAUUACCCUUCAAAACUAUAGACUUUUAAAAUUCAUAAAUUUAUGUCCCCAAGAAAUUAAUAGGUAGGUCUGACACUUUACAGCCAAAUAUAUAGAUUUGAAUUUAACCUUAGAAAUGGAGAACAAAAUUAUACCAACAACAGCAUUAGCUAGAAACCUGUUCUAAGACAGAAUAACUUUGUACACUUAAAUUUCCAUGAUCAUCUUAGCUCAAAUUUGGUCCCAACACAAUAUACUAUUAUUACUGUGGUUUCUCCCAGUUCUCAACUUGCUAAGAAAACAUGUUAAUUAUUGAUUCAAAGGCUUGUUGGUUUCAAGACAGCAUACAUCUGUCCAGUCUCUACCCUUUUCCCCCAAUUCUGGUUCUAGUAUGUUCUAUUAUGAUCACUAAAAAUAAUUUUCUAUAUUUUUGCUUUCGUUUGAAAUGUAAAAUAAGCAUAAUGAGAUAGUAUCAAAUAAAUAAGUGAAGUGUGUAAAUUAAUGCUCUACCAUUAACUCUAAGUUUGAAGUUGCAAGUAUUGUCAUUCUAGUAAUUUUUAAAUAUUCCAUGUUUUCUAUAUAUGAUAGAACAAGCAUUUCAUCCCAGCACUCAAACUCGGUAAGUUUAGUGCAGUUAUGUCUACACAGAAAAUCUGAGUCCAGUGAGAGCUUUAUAGUGAUUCUCUAUCUAAAAUAUGAUAACAAGUAAAUAAGUAUUUCCAGUUUUGCUAGAAUAUUUAACCACAUGAUUUUAAAAACAGAAGUAUUCCCGGAAUAAGAGCAGCAGCAGCAACAAAUUAUGAAACUUACAGCUCACUUUACAAUUAAAAUUGUUCUGAUAUCUACAACUCCUUAGCAAGUAGGCUGCUAAAACCAUUUUACAGAAAGUCCCUUGAAGUAAUAAAAGGAUAAAUAACUUAAGAAAUAGUAAUUCAGAAGAGAAGUUUUAAUCCAGGGAGCAAGCUUAUAGCCCACAGUUUACCUACUUUUCCAAAGAAAAUAGAGAUAAUAUUUGCUUUUAGAUUUUGUGUGACUUCUUUGGAUAUCAAUAUUUUCAACUAUAUUCACAUAUUAUUUUCAGAAUCAGGAUAUAUUUGUAUAUAAUUUAAAAAUAGUUGGCAGCUUAAUUCUGUAAGUGAAAAUGUCCAACUAGCAAUUUAAGAAGACCAUUCUCAAUGUUGCCAAAGUGACUUUGUAAAUUCUUAUUUUGUUUGAGAUGAUGCAUCAGUAGCCUGUCUUUUUAAAAACUAUGGUAACAAAACAAAACAUAAAAUUUAAUACUAACCAUACACAAAAGCCAUUAGCAAAGAAAGUCACAUUAUUUUUUUUUCCUUAAAUAUAGUAACUCUUGCUGAGAGGUGGUAGCACAAGCCUUUAAACUCAGCACUCAAGAGGCAGAGGCAGGUGGAUCUCUGAGAUCUAGACCAGACUAGUCAACAGAGCGAGCAAGUUCCAGGACAGCCAGGGCUACAUAAACCCUCUCAAAAUACAACCCGCCCAAAAAUGUAACUCUUAGAAGAGACACACACACACCCUUAAACCAUUGUUUCAUCAACUAAAGAAUAGUAUAAAAAAAAAAAUUAAAGUUAUAUUUUAAAAAUGAAUUUGUAAAAUCAAGCUGUCUUACAUGUAAUUGGAUACAUGAAAACUAUUGGGAUAUACUUAAAAUUCUGAAAAAAAUAUAAGACAAAAUAGGUAGUAUUGGCUUCAUAGAUAGCGCUGGAGAAAAAAUACACUGGUAUUACUAUGCUGUAUUAAUGUACAAUAGUAACUAUCACUUCCUAACUGUACUUCUCUUCAUACUAGGAAAUCUCACUCUCAUCAACUGUUAAAAUAUUAUUCUUAAUUUAUUUGGCAAUACAAAAUCCUAGAGAGAUCAUUUUUUACAAGCUGACCUUAUAGGAGAGCAUUCCAAGAAAUCUAAGCAGAAUGAUAUACUGAUU